rnacentral:lncRNA from 1 species
GUCGGAUGGAAGAGUAUCACCUUCAUCAUGCUUGAUGGCUGCCUCCUGUGCUCUCCGUGACAUGUGAAGGACAGUGGCCAUGUAGCAAGGAUCCCAGGUACCCAAGGAAGGGAUGGCCGGGCUGACCAGGAAGCAGAACAAGGCAUAUUCUCAGACUCGAAGUAGCUGCCUGCUGAUAAAGGAGAUUAAGUCUUCCUCCCAGUCCCAGUGAAGUCGCACUCUCACUUCGUAUUCAGCUUCAGAAUCACCAGCUGUAGAAGACUUUGCUCCAUCUUCUUUGCCAAGUCUUUGCUGUUGAAAGUUACUGCUUACAAUACCAUCAACUAUAUCUCAAUGUAUGUUUGAUUAUACCAUGUAUCUUUCCUCUUUGUAUUACAAACAGGCUCCAUAUGUAAUAGAUAAUGAUAAAAUAAAUAAAUGAAAUGAAAUAAAAAAUUAAAAAAA